UACGUAGGGUGCGAGCGUUAAUCGGAAUUACUGGGCGUAAAGCGUGCGCAGGCGGUCUGUUAAGACCGAUGUGAAAUCCCCGGGCUUAACCUGGGAACUGCAUUGGUGACUGGCAGGCUUUGAGUGUGGCAGAGGGAGGUAGAAUUCCACGUGUAGCAGUGAAAUGCGUAGAGAUGUGGAGGAAUACCGAUGGCGAAGGCAGCCUCCUGGGCCAACACUGACGCUCAUGCACGAAAGCGUGGGGAGCGAUCGGG
rnacentral:rRNA from 1 species